rnacentral:lncRNA from 1 species
AGCAUCAGUGUGACCAUACUGAAUUUACAUAACUCCAGUUUACAUCUUCUACAGAUGCAAAUCUCCCCACAUAAAACAGAUUUCCAUGGUUGUUCUUGUAUUUGCAGCCCCUCUGAACAGACAUUUCAAAAUAAGCAAAUCAUAAGAUCCCCAUUCCAGAGAGGGUCCUGCCCUAUAACCAGAAGGAAGUAAUGCUGCAAAGAGAGGCCAAGAAGAAUCCAGACAGACAAGCCUUGCUAAGAUUCUGCACUCCAUCUAUUAGCCUAAGCUCUUACCCUUUUGGUCCAAUCGUAUUGCUACACAGCUGUCUAUGCUUUGUUGAACCUAAGCAUAAAAAUGGACUGCUUUCCUGUAUCUUUGUGUGUUCAUCCUGAAGGCUCCCAUG